rnacentral:rRNA from 1 species
UGGGGAAUUUUGGACAAUGGGGGAAACCCUGAUCCAGCCAUCCCGCGUGUGCGAUGAAGGCCUUCGGGUUGUAAAGCACUUUGGCAGGAAAGAAACGUCGCGGGUUAAUACCCCGCGAAACUGACGGUACCUGCAGAAUAAGCACCGGCUAACUACGUGCCAGCAGCCGCGGUAAUACGUAGGGUGCAAGCGUUAAUCGGAAUUACUGGGCGUAAAGCGUGCGCAGGCGGUUCGGAAAGAAAGAUGUGAAAUCCCAGAGCUUAACUUUGGAACUGCAUUUUUAACUACCGGGCUAGAGUGUGUCAGAGGGAGGUGGAAUUCCGCGUGUAGCAGUGAAAUGCGUAGAUAUGCGGAGGAACACCGAUGGCGAAGGCAGCCUCCUGGGAUAACACUGACGCUCAUGCACGAAAGCGUGGGGAGCAAACAGGAUUAGAUACCCUGGUAGUCCACGCCCUAAACGAUGUCAACUAGCUGUUGGGGCCUUCGGCCUUGGUAGCGCAGCUAACGCGUGAAGUUGACCGCCUGGGGAGUACGGUCGCAAGAUUAAAACUUAAAUGAAUUG